rnacentral:rRNA from 1 species
UUUUAUGGAGAGUUUGAUCCUGGCUCAGGAUGAACGCUGGCGGCGUGCCUAAUACAUGCAAGUCGAGCGAACGGACGAGAAGCUUGCUUCUCUGAUGUUAGCGGCGGACGGGUGAGUAACACGUGGAUAACCUACCUAUAAGACUGGGAUAACUUCGGGAAACCGGAGCUAAUACCGGAUAAUAUUUUGAACCGCAUGGUUCAAAAGUAAAAGACGGUCUUGCUGUCACUUAUAGAUGGAUCCGCGCUGCAUUAGCUAGUUGGUAAGGUAACGGCUUACCAAGGCAACGAUGCAUAGCCGACCUGAGAGGGUGAUCGGCCACACUGGAACUGAGACACGGUCCAGACUCCUACGGGAGGCAGCAGUAGGGAAUCUUCCGCAAUGGGCGAAAGCCUGACGGAGCAACGCCGCGUGAGUGAUGAAGGUCUUCGGAUCGUAAAACUCUGUUAUUAGGGAAGAACAUAUGUGUAAGUAACUGUGCACAUCUUGACGGUACCUAAUCAGAAAGCCACGGCUAACUACGUGCCAGCAGCCG